rnacentral:rRNA from 1 species
AUUGAACGCUGGCGGCACGCUUAACACAUGCAAGUCGAGCGGGGUGAUGGUGCUUGCACUAUCACUUAGCGGCGGACGGGUGAGUAAUGCUUAGGAAUCUGCCUAUUAGUGGGGGACAACAUCUCGAAAGGGAUGCUAAUACCGCAUACGUCCUACGGGAGAAAGCAGGGGAUCACUUGUGACCUUGCGCUACUAGAUGAGCCUAAGUCGGAUUAGCUAGUUGGUGGGGUAAAGGCCUACCAAGGCGACGAUCUGUAGCGGGUCUGAGAGGAUGAUCCGCCACACUGGGACUGAGACACGGCCCAGACUCCUACGGGAGGCAGCAGUGGGGAAUAUUGGACAAUGGGGGGAACCCUGAUCCAGCCAUGCCGCGUGUGUGAAGAAGGCCUUAUGGUUGUAAAGCACUUUAAGCGAGGAGGAGGCUCUUUUGGUUAAUACCCAAGAUGAGUGGACGUUACUCGCAGAAUAAGCACCGGCUAACUCUGUGCCAGCAGCCGCAGUAA